AUGUGGUGCGAGGAAGGGCGAGGAGGGAGAGGAAGAAGCUCAGCUGGCUGGGCCCUGGCUCCUGAAGAAAACAAGCUGAGGCAGAGCAGAAAACACAGUGUUCCCUGCAAUUUGAUCACUUCCAUGCAAGUCUCUGGGCCGCACACCCGGGGUCGCCCGCCUGCCAAGGCCCAGAGGCCAAGUUCAGUGUAUGUGGAAUCGAUUUGGGUAAGUCAGCAAUUCAGCAAGAUCAGCUGUCUGCAGCAACAUGGAACAACACAGUGA
rnacentral:lncRNA from 1 species